UAUUGGCAAUGUGGGAAAUCUCUAAAAAGGACUUAAAUCUCUCCCAUGCAUGAUAGAGAUUUUUGUCUAUCUUUUGUAUGAAACUUGGGAUCUCAUGCCUCAACCC
rfam:Capsicum annuum cultivar Zunla-1 chromosome 8, whole genome shotgun sequence